rnacentral:rRNA from 1 species
UACGUAGGGUGCGAGCGUUGUCCGGAAUUACUGGGCGUAAAGAGCUCGUAGGUGGUUUGUCGCGUUGUCCGUGAAAACUCACAGCUUAACUGUGGGCGUGCGGGCGGAUACGGGCAGACUGGAGUACUGCAGGGGAGACUGGAAUUCCUGGUGUAGCGGUGGAAUGCGCAGAUAUCAGGAGGAACACCCGGUGGCGAAGGCGGGUCUCUGGGCAGUAACUGACGCUGAGGAGCGAAAGCGUGGGGGAGCGAACAGG